GACGUGAGGGUGAUCUGGUUGCGACAUCUGUCACCCCAUUGAUCGCCAGGGUUGACUCGGCUGAUCUGGCUGGCUAGGCGGGUGUCCCCUUCCUCCCUCACCGCUCCAUGUGCGUCCCUCCCGAAGCUGCGCGCUCAGUCGAAGAGGACGACCAUCCCCGAUAGAGGAGGACCGGUCUCCGGUCAAGGGUAUACGAGUAGCUGCGCUCCCCUGCUAGAACCUCCAAAUAGGCUCUCAAGAAUCCAUCUG
rnacentral:lncRNA from 1 species